AAAUUUUAGAAAAAUUGGAAAACCUUUAAAAUGUUAAAACCUAAAAUUGGAUAAGCCUUUAGGGCCUUACAAUAGGGUUCUUUUUUUUUUUUUUUUUUUAGAUUGUCUUUUCUUUUUAGGGACAAUUUAAGGAUGCAUGCAUACUUCCUAUUAUGAUUAUAAUUAACCGUGCUUUUCAAUAUUUGGAUGUUAAUUCCUUGUUUUAGAAUGGUUAGGACAAAUUUUUUGAUAACCUUGUUUUUUUAAUUGGAGAAGCUGAGUGAAACAAAUAAGGCUAAUGGAGCAAAACAAAAAAUAUGACACACCUUAGGAAACAAAAGUUUUGCUAGAAUAAAAACAGAAAAGGUAGGUAUUCUCAUGUUUCCCCUUAAAUUUUUGUGUUUUCCUGUAAGUGAUAUUUCCAUUGUGUAAUCAAUAAUUUCGCUUUAGAAAAGAUUCUACUGAGGUGAUAUAUCUCUGAACUUCAGGUAAAGAUGUCCAGAGAUAUUUGCCACUUUUCCGACAAUAUGUGUGUUUAGAUAGCAGUUGUCAUAGGAAGAAAACAUAGGAUGUGUUCUAGAAAUGCCUCCUUAAGAUUGUCUACGUUCUUAGCACCUGCAUUGAUAUCUUGUUAUUAUUCCCUUAUCUCUGUGAUUUGGAUUUGCUAGUGACAGCACAAUAAUCCACAACUUGGUUCAGGUUUAUCUAGAACUUAUGGUCCACCAUCAUUAACAAAAGAGCUAUGCAGCAGCUAGAGCUGUAAAGUAAAUUAUAAAUGAUGAAACCUGUACAAUUUUCUAUUCAUUUGCUAACGUGACUGCAGUUUGGUUUAAUGAGAGAUUGAAAAACAGAAAAGUACUGCAGCCCUAGAAUACCCAAUUGCUAGCUGUGCCAUUUCACAUGCAUGCACACGUCCCCACAAUUGUUGAAAAGCCAUUCAAUAUAGUUCAUCCAGUGUCAACAAAUGUUAUUCAGUCUCGGCAAUGACAAUAUUGCUGCUGUAAUGUAUUAGGAAUUUAUGUAGUUAUCUGAGCAGAAGAGAAAGGAUCAAGAAAAGAGGGCAAGCUGGAAUAAAUAGUCUAAAAUUAAAAUCAAAAGUCUAAAUUCUUAGCGUGUGUUUUCAUAUGAUUCGGUGGAUGACAGGUAAUAUAACAAUCAGCAAGGAACAACUAUAGAAAGGAAGAGUGUGAUUACUUUCUCAAUUUGAUAUCUCUGGACAUCUUUCCUGUAUCAUAGGAAAGUGUGAAAUAUUGAAUGUCUACUUGAUAUGGUUCAUUCAUUUAUGCUGACUAACCAAGUUCUGGCACAUGAUAGGAAGAAGAGUUAGGAAUCAAAGGCCAUUGCACGUAUCUAUGAAUUCAGCUUAACAUUGCUCGACAGUAAAUAGUAAAAUCAUUAUUUAAAUAAGUUUUUUAUGUUACUAAACUGCAGGGAAGCAUGAAUGUCUCAUGGAGGUAUAUUUGAAACUUGAAAAGAAAGAGCCCCCCUUGAAAUACUGUUUUUCUAGGGUUGGGAAAAAAGAAACCUGGAUGUGUCCGAUGCUAGGGCAUAGUACAUGCUUGAAUGAUUUGGGGCCUCGAAAUCUAGUUGUCUUCCAACCGAUAACUUAAGGUCAAAGAAAGAGAAGGAUGAAGAGAUUUACAAGUUGAAGAAAUCUAGUUGUCUUCCAUCUGAGAACUUAAGGUCAGCGAAUGAGAAAGAUGAAGAGAUUCACAAGUUGAAGGAAAUACUGAAAGCAACGAAAGAGCAAUUAAACAAGACAAAUGGAGAUCUACAAAAGUUAAGAGGCUCAAAGAGAUGUCUAGUAUUAAACAGUAUUGCCAACAUAAAGCAGCCUUGAAAUGGUCUCCCCAGGAUCUGGACGAGGCGGUCAAAUAGAAUCAUCUUGAAGGUAUUUGGUGCAUGGCAAAUAGAAGGUCCAUACCAAAUCUUGAAUAACGGAGCGAGAAUGACCCAUUCUGGAAGAUGGAGACUGCGCAGCUCCACGACGUCCUCCGUCUUCUUGAUGAGCUCGAAGGUGCGGACAUCUGAGACUCGCCGGGAAUUCCUCUUUGUGAAAUCCUGCCAACUGGAGGUAUUCGCCGCUGUCUAGGCUGAGCAAGUUCCUCAGCUCUCGAACCCCUUCGGUGAAUUGACAUCGGCCAUGGAGAAUACUUUUCUGGGCAUGUUUCGGCUUGGUUGCUUUUAUAAAAGAAACCAUGAUUAUUAGGAAGUUCAAUAAGAGUUCGACCAUCUGAAAUUGGUUGUAUACCAAGCAUGAAGCAGUAAUACCCUCACUUCCUUGAA